rnacentral:tmRNA from 1 species
GGGGUUGCAGGUCGAGGCGCCGCUGGCCUCGUAAAAAGCGGCAACAAAGUAAUUGCCAACAACGAUUACGAAUACGCCUACGCUGCGUAAGCGGCAGGGCACCCUGACGGCAUAGACCGUCACGCCGAAGCGGCCGACGUCCGAUACGUCGCUGAGGUGCCAAUGCAUCGGGCUGGCGAGCGUCUGUUCCUGCCGGGACGCGCGCGAGGAGUGCACGGAAGGAUAACUGACGGACGCCCGUCUGCGGGCAAGUCCAGAGGCGAAAACACGUACGCAGACUAAACCUGUAGAGGCCUUGCGCGGACCUUUCUCGGACGGGAGUUCGACUCUCCCCGCCUCCACCA